rnacentral:rRNA from 1 species
UACGUAGGUGGCAAGCGUUGUCCGGAUUUAUUGGGUUUAAAGGGUGCGUAGGCGGUUUUUUAAGUCAGUGGUGAAAUACAGCCGCUCAACGGUUGAGGUGCCAUUGAUACUGGAGAACUUGAGUACAGACGAGGUAGGCGGAAUUGACGGUGUAGCGGUGAAAUGCAUAGAUAUCGUCAAGAACACCGAUAGCGAAGGCAGCUUACUAGACUGUAACUGACGCUGAUGCACGAAAGUGUGGGGAUCAAACAGG